GGUUAUGAUCAGAAUGGCAGUGUGAUUAGGUUAAAGGAGUAGAACCAGACCAGUAUGGUUAGGAUCAGAACGACAGUGUGACUAGGUUAAAGGAGUAGAACCAGACCAGUAUGGUUAGGAUCAGAACGACAGUGUGACUAGGUUAAAGGAGUAGAACCAGACCAGUAUGGUUAGGAUCAGAACGACAGUGUGACUAGGUUAAAGGAGUAGAACCAGAACAGUAUGGUUAGGAUCAGAACGAGUGUGAUUAGGUUAAAGGAGUAGAACCAGAACAGUAUGGUUAUGAUCAGAAUGGCAGUGUGAUUAGGUUAAAGGAGUAGAACCAGACCAGUAUGGUUAGGAUCAGAACGACAGUGUGACUAGGUUAAAGGAGUAGAACCAGAACAGUAUGGUUAGGAUCAGAACGAGUGUGAUUAGGUUAAAGGAGUAGAACCAGAACAGUAUGGUUAUGAUCAAAUUCAGCUCCUUACGUUCUUGAACUAAGUUUAGCACCCUAAUAAAAAAACUACAUAUCAGAAUAUAUCAAAUAUAUAUUUUGUGUCUCUCUGGAUCAGAGCCUCUACUUGUCUUACAAGAGUAUUACUAUGCAAUAUACAAGCUGGACUUUAAAGUCUUUCGCUUCCCUCAAUACUCCUCACCUUCAGAAGUGUCUUUGGAGCAGAAUCAAGUCAAACUACAAGAAACCCAAGAAUUACAAGUCAUACUUAUAAUUGACCUGUAAGCAGCUAGUUGAAACUGUCAUCACAGUUCAAGGAACAGGAUCCUGGGUGUGUUAAUACAGCACUUGAACCAUAAGGCACUUCUUACAGUACUUAUCAGUAUAAUG
ensembl:lncRNA